UUUUAGGGGUCCCAGAAGAAGGAGAGAGAGAGAAAGGGUCCAAGAAAAUAUUUGAAGACGUAAUAGCUGAAAACCUUCAUAACCUGUGGAAGGAAACAGUCACUGAAGUCCAGGAAGCACAGAAUCCCAUACAGAAUUAACUCAAAGAGGAACACACUAAGACACAUUGUACUCAAAAUGCCAAAUAUUAAAGAUAAUGAGAGAAUACUAAAAUCAGCAAGGGAAAAGCAACAAGUAGCCUACAAGGGAACUCCCAUAAGGCUACCCGCUGAUUUUUCAGCAGAAAGUCUGCAGGCCAGAAAGGAGUGGCAUGAUAUAUUUAAAGUGCUGAAAGGG